AGAGAAGCCCCAUGUACUAGAAAGCAUGCUUCCUGAGGGUUGGGGUUUGGUUUUUCUUCACUGGAUGCUCAGUUCCUGCCCAGUUGAACAGUGCAGUGCCAGCAUUUGAGACCUGUGGUCGGCCCUGGAGGGACAGGGCGAAGCGGCUGCGAGGGCAAUGCCACCUGGAAGCACCUUUUCAGAGAACCCGACGGUGGGAUUGUCAUGGAAGAUCUGAUCAGGGAAGGAGGAGAACCUGACAGGGAGUAAUUGCCUGUUUCAGGGGAAGGUGCUGCUCCGUGGUAGAAACCGUGGAGGAGGUGCACAUGGGGCUGAAUGGGUGUCCUGGUUUUUAUCAGACUCCGGAGAUGUGCAGGGAGGGGGCUCUUCAUAGGGGUGCAGCUCUGUAUGUGCACGGAAUUGGCGUCUUCCCUCUGGGUGCCCGCAGCUGCUGACAGGGAUAGCUACCAGCCCUGCCUUGGGGACAUAAUGCAUUCAGGUGGCCGUGGAGCCAGUGGGGGGGAGAGAGUGACAGCAUGCCUUGUCAAGGGACUUGUGGCGCCUGAGUGCCUGGAGCACUCUUGGACCCUGCGAGACCUGCCACAUGCAGAUCAGGCCUCCCCACCAGCAUGCCCCUUCAGACUGCAGGAGGGAGGAUACCGUCCUGAAAUGUGGUUGCUGUGCUUGUUUCCUGUUUCCUAUUCAUUCACAUAUUUUGGGCGCCCCACCUGGGUGCCAGGUACUGUUCUGCGGAUUUCCGCAGAGAACUGAACAAGAAGCCUGGAUUCUGGCAUAAGCCUGGAGCUUCAGAAGGCAUGAAAUGUCCUGGCUGAAGCGAUGCUGAGGGUUGCGGCACCAGCAGAAGCCGGGGAGUAUACAUCUCACCAGUGCAGUGAAAGGCGUGUGCUGAUGGCUUUGGAAGCACAGACUAGCACCCACCCCUCUCGGGUCCUGCCCACAGGGGUGCUUGGUCGGUUGGGAGCUGGACACACAGACGGCGGCUGUGGCUGAGCUUACCUAUGAGGAGGACUGGUGGGGACCGGGAAGGCUGUCCAGGAGGGAGUGUGACGGGGCCGGCAGGUUUCAGGUUCCUGCUGCAUCCCAGGUCUCCCCCUCACUUGUGUAGGGGCAGGAGCUUCACAUUUCCUCAAGGCAGGUAACCAGAUGCCUGCUUAGUGAGAACGGCUUACCUGCAGAGCUUAGCCACUUGCCUCCUUCUGAAUCUCUUCUCACUGACUGGCUGUGUUAGGGUUUAAAAAACUUUUAUUUUGUGUUUAGAGAAUUUUAAUAAUGAAUGUUAUUUAAAAACUCCUAUAAAGACUAAAAGUAUAUAUUUGUGGAAAUUAUUUUGUGUUCCAGAAUUACUCAAAGGAACUUUUGUACGAUUCAAAACCUUAUUUUUAGGGUUUUCACAAAAGGUGCCCAAUGCUGGUGGUUAUACUGGGCCAUGUAGGACUCUGAGUGUCUUUGUUAUCACUUGUCAGCCACAGGGUAUGUAAUUAGGGUUCAGGGUUUGCCUGUGCCUUGGAGCUUGAAGCUGGGCUCCCAGAAACCAGACCCAAGGGAGGGGGUGUGAGGCCUACUGGGGUCUGCAGUGGCAAGAACACCACCUCUUCUACCAGUUGUGGUCUCCAGUGUGGGACAUCCGGGUGCAGUGUAGAACCAUAGACUCAGAGGAAUGGCACAAAGAUGUGUUAACUCUCGUUUUCUAAAGAUGGUUUAGGAGACACUUGGAGAUGUGAUGCCCUAAAGAGGUGCUACCGAAUGUUGCCACCUGGAGAUGGAAGUUGGGUGAAUUGCCAUUGGAUUAGCACCCUCCCUAACCAGCUCCUAAGGCAGGAGGGGAGGGAUGGUUGUGAUGUUCUGGGAGUGCAUGCAUCUUAUGCCACCGAGCCUUGGGUGAGCACUCUUAGUGAUCCCCAGGACUCUGCUAUGGUAGCCACAAGGGCAUGUGGAGGUGAUGUAAGUGCCCCAGGUUCUGGAAAAUGCCUUUCUCAGUCAUGGUGGGGCAGGAGUUUACCAGUUAUGCCCACAUCUGGGAAGCUUGACUCAGCAGCUGAUGCCUUUUUGGUCAUGUUGGUCAGCAGGCUGGGGGAGGGGGCCACUGUCAUGGCCCAGCACUUCUUGCAUGCCUAGGGCAGGCCCUCUGGCCUUCGCCUUUCCUGGCUGAGGCUUCCUUGUGCUCUCAGUGUGCCAGCUACACCUUCUUGUUUUCUCUAAUUGGUUUAGUGGGCCUGCCUUUCUGCCUACUUGGCAUAAUGAGUGUGGUCAUCUCUAGAGAGGGACUGACAUCUGGGUAUUUUCCACUCAUAGUGGCAGGGAGCCAGCUGUCCUCACGCCCUUGCCAUUGCUGAGUGACUGGACAGUCACAGGAUUUACGGCCACUCUUGUCCUGUGCCUGGAUCACAGGACCCAAACCACCCCGGAGUUAUCUAUUAGCCCCUAAACCAAAGGAGGCACUUGUCUUCCCAGGCACCAGGGAGGUUGAGCAACAAGGCGUCUGGAAGGAAUAGGGAGGUCUGCCUGUGGAGUGUUGGGUGCUGUCCUGAGUGGCCCUCUCUAUUUCCACACAUGUGGAAAUGGUGCUGUGUGCAGGACAAGGGAGUCAUUUUUGGUUUUGGUUUUGGUUUUACCAAACUUACAAGGUAAUAUUUUUAUUUUCUACACCAAACUUGCAAGUUAGUAUUUCUGUUCUCAUUUUGAAGAUGGGGAAAUUAAACCUGAAAGAUGAAGAAAGUUACUCAAGACCACAGGUGUACUGAGUUGCAAACCUGAUAAUAAAAUCCAUACUUUCGUGGGGGGGGGGAGCUUUUCCUAUUAUGUCCCAUUGCCUCUCCAAGGAAACAUGUCAAAGUGGGAAACGUAAACUUUACAGUGAAAAAUCGAAGGAAAGCACAGGCCAUGGAUUGAGCAAUGGUCUGAAAAUUAGAAUUAACAGAGUCAUGUGUCCUGAAUGCUGCCCUGGGACUUGUGUUGCCACAAACUGCCUGUUAAUAGUGCUCUGUCAGGGAUCGAGCCCUGACCAUGCAAACACUACUUCAUUUUAAUGAUAGCGGGUAGUCGGCACCUACAGUUCUGCCCUUAAAGAACUGGGCUGGCGCGCCUGGGUGGCUCAGUCGGUUAAGCCUUCGGCUCGGGUCACGAUCCCAGGGUCCUGGGAUCAAGCCCCACGUUGGGCUCCUUGUUCAGCGCGGAGCCUGCUUCUCCCUCUCUCUCUGUGUGCAAUUCCCCCUGCUUGUGUGUGCAUGCUCUCUCUCUCUCUGUCAAAUAAAUAAAAUCUUUAAAAUAUAUAUAUUAAAAAAAAAAGAACUGGGCUGAUAAUGUUCUUCACCGAGGUGCUAUAAUAAUGAAUAUGUUAAAAAGUGCUCAGAGAACUACAGUGAGGUACCUAUUAAACAUCACUGUUGGUCAAUACAGUAAAUUUAUAAAGUGGUUUAACAAAAUUUUUUUUUAUCAAGAAGGCAACUUUAUUAUUUUCCCACCUGUAACCAUCAGCCUGUUCUUUAUGAGUUUGGUUUUUCUGUUUUGUUUUGAGAGAGAGAGCGCAUGUGCAAGCUGGUGGCGGGGGGUGGGGGCAGAGGGAGAGAGAGAAUCUUAAGCAGGUUCCAUGCCCAGCGUGGAGCCCAGCUCGAGGCUCAAUCUCACCACCCCAAGGUUGUGACCUGAGCUGAAAUCAAGAGUUGGAUGCCCAACCAACUGAGCUACCCAGGCACCUCUGUGAGUUUGGUUUGUGUGUUUAGAUUCCACAUGUAAGAGAUCACGCAGUGUUUGUCUUUCUUACCUCACUUAACACAAUGCCCUCAGGUUCCAUCCAUGUUGCAAAUGUCAAGAUUUCUUCCUAUUUGUGGCUGAGUAAUAUUCCAUUGUAUAAAUUGCAUUUGCUUUAUCCGUUCAUCUGUGGAUGGACACUUGGGCUGCCUCCGUAAACUGGCUACUGUAAAUAAUGCUG